UUAAGUUCAGCGGGUAUCCCUACCUGAUCCGAGGUCAGUGGUUGAAAUAAGCUUUUGGAGAGCCGAUCCGUCGUUGCCAAGAGCGCGUCUGUGCUGCGCUCACGGCCGGCGAGAUGCGGGCUGCCAAUGACUUUGAGGUGAGUCGCCGCGCGAGAGGCGGGACAAGCACCCAAUACCAAGCUAGGCUUGAGGGGUUAAAU
rnacentral:misc_RNA from 1 species